GGGUUUUUGCCGAUUUUUAGAUAAAACUCAGAGAUUCCUUGUAUGACUCUCUCAAAUCUCUCUUUUGUGGUAUUUCUGGAUCCUAAUGGUAUAUGCCUUCUCUCUCACCCUACUCUAAUAAGGUUUUGAUAUCUGGAGCUCAUAGGUGGGAGACAGAUAAUACAUACUUACAAGACAUUUAUUGCAUAGUCAAACCAUAGAUAAAGAGAAACAAGUCAAUAAGUCAAAUCAAGAUGUGCAUGUGUGGUGAGUGAAUGGUGUAUGGUAAUGAUGGUGAUAACAAUGGUGAAAUCCUAAUUAUACUUUUGCUCUUUUAAGGAGAUACAUACCUUUCUUGCACUUUGAAGCUUUUUGAGGAGAAUGAGAUGCUCUAUAUUUUUCUUUUUCUUUUUCUCUCAGGUGGGUAUCUUGUACCCCUAAUUCUACUAUCGGACACGUGUCCAUUUUUUACCUCUCGUCUUUCUUUUUCUUUCCUUCGAGGUUCUGGGCACUUGCCUCUUUUUAUUUCCUCGUAUCCUUUCUCUUUCUCUCUUUUUUCAGAGCACUCACCCUCCUGAAAUAAUAUAGCAAGUGGUAGUAACCAAGAUAACUCGAGCAUUUAUUUCAUAGGGAAAGACAGAAAUAGGAGAAUGUUUUUGGCUAUUCUCUCCUGGAUUAGGAGUAGAAUACUUUUGGGUGAAUUUGGAGAUGGAAUUGAGUGGAUGUAUGUGGAUGCGUACUUUCGGAGUAGAAGUAGCAUGUAUGAGUGAACGUGCAAGUGAAUAUUGAUUUUAACCACAUGACAAGCUCCUAAGGGUCUACACAGCUUGACCACACUAAAUGCUCAUAAGCAGUAAAAAGUAAAUGUAUGGUUCAUAGUCUAAUAAGCAUGUAUAUAUGGCUGUGGUAGGAUUUUAAACUCUCAUCAUACAGGAACUCAUCAUACAACAUUUUAAAAAUUUUCAAAGAUAAAAUUCUUCAGAAUUCUAGCAUCUCUAGGAACAGAUAAAUAGCAGCUCAACCUUUCCAUAUCAUAUCCGUUAACGACUUAGACUUUAGAUCAAGUACUCUUCCCACAAGUUCAGGAUUAGAGCAGGUUUAAAUUAUAACAGUUAUGCCUAAACUUGAGAGAGAUUUCAAUUUUGAGAACUAGUCAUGGCAAAGCAACUAUUCAUCAUUUCCAUGUGAGAGCUUAUCAUGAUGGUUCAUAGCAAACUUUAUUUAUUUAUUUAUUUGGCAAACUAAGCAAAGAUAUAUAUAUAAGAAAAAAAUCUUUAUUUGGGUUUUAUGAUUAUGCAUCUUUUUAUUAUUUGAGUAAAGUAUAAACACGAGUAGAAACACUUAGCUGGAUAAAUGGGGGUGCUCUCCCCCAAGCUGUAUUUUGACGUAAUUUCUUUUGAUGUAGCUAGCAGGUGACGGAGGUGUAUUUGAAUGUCGGCAGCACCGUGACAGCGAUUAGGAUGUCCUCCGUCUGCUAGUCUUCUUUGAUCUUUGAAUUCCAUGGAGCUCAAAUAGACAACAAAGCUUUGUGGAACUAGUUAAGUGUUAGCAUAAAAUCUUUUUGCCUUUUAUCUUGUUGAGCUUCCUCUAAUAAAUAUUACUCUUUGGUAGGAUCAUAAAUUUAUUUUUAUAUUUUCAUUUUUAUAGGACAAGAAUAUAUUUAUUUUAUUUUUAUGCCACCACAGUGAAUGUACUUAUGGGUUUUAUGCCAUAAGCGUACUCACAUGGGGCUUACUAUUUUUAACAUUUUUAUUUUCUUUUCAAGAUAGCAUGAACCUGAUUAACUAAGCAAACUAUUGAAAGAAAAAGGAUAACUACCAAGUUUACCUCUUGGAAAGGCGUUCUGUGUUUUUAAGUCCUUCGAACGGGACUCUCCAUUUUCUCAGUCGUCCUAGGAUUCGCUGGAUGGCGUAGUUGGUGAUUCCGGUGGCGCCUCCUCUUCGUGUAUAACUAUAUUCUCUUCCUGACUCGGUGCUACGGUCUCCUCAGGACAGUUAUGUUCAAGCUGUAUGUCUUCAGACCUUACCACUUCUCCUUCGUAGUCUGCCCAUCCGUGCUUGAUGAUUUGCCUCCUCUGGUUGCAGUUGCGUCGUCUUCUUCUUGUCCUGACCUACUUAGAGUCUUCAACUAUAUAGUUAGGGUUAGUAAAAUAGCGGCGUACCUUCUUAGAGGGUAAGUGCAUGUAGACUUCUCCGGUUUCAAUGUAGAUGAUUGUUUUAACAGUGCUGAGGAACGGUCUCCCAAGGAUGAUGGGUGGAUUGGACUCGUCUUCUCCCAUGUCAAUAACCUGAAAAUCUAUAUGGACAAAAUUAUCGUCUAUUUUGAUAGGGACAUCAGUUACUAUACCUUCAACCUUUCGGAAUGUCUGAUCUGCCAUCUGG
rnacentral:lncRNA from 1 species